rnacentral:rRNA from 1 species
ACUCAAAUGAAUUGACGGGGACCCGCACAAGCGGUGGAUGAUGUGGAUUAAUUCGACGCAACGCGAAAAACCUUACCUACCCUUGACAUGUCCGGAAUCCUGUAGAGAUAUGGGAGUGCCCGAAAGGGAGCCGGAACACAGGUGCUGCAUGGCUGUCGUCAGCUCGUGUCGUGAGAUGUUGGGUUAAGUCCCGCAACGAGCGCAACCCUUGUCAUUAAUUGCCAUCAUUCAGUUGGGCACUUUAAUGAGACUGCCGGUGACAAACCGGAGGAAGGUGGGGAUGACGUCAAGUCCUCAUGGCCCUUAUGGGUAGGGCUUCACACGUCAUACAAUGGUCGGUACAGAGGGUUGCCAAGCCGCGAGGCGGAGCCAAUCCCAGAAAGCCGAUCGUAGUCCGGAUUGCAGUCUGCAACUCGACUGCAUGAAGUCGGAAUCGCUAGUAAUCGCGGAUCAGCAUGUCGCGGUGAAUACGUUCCCGGGUCUUGCACACACCGCCCGU